AUUGAACGCUGGCGGCAUGCCUUACACAUGCAAGUCGAACGGUAACAGGUCUUCGGAUGCUGACGAGUGGCGAACGGGUGAGUAAUACAUCGGAACGUGCCCGAGAGUGGGGGAUAACGAGGCGAAAGCUUUGCUAAUACCGCAUACGAUCUCAGGAUGAAAGCAGGGGACCGCAAGGCCUUGCGCUCACGGAGCGGCCGAUGGCAGAUUAGGUAGUUGGUGGGAUAAAAGCUUACCAAGCCGACGAUCUGUAGCUGGUCUGAGAGGACGACCAGCCACACGGGGACUGCGACACGGCCCAGAAUACUACGGGAGGCAGCAGUGGGGAAUUUUGGACAAUGGGCGCAAGCCUGAUCCAGCCAUGCCGCGUGCAGGAUGAAGGCCUUCGGGUUGUAAACUGCUUUUGUACGGAACGAAAAGACUCUGGUUAAUACCUGGGGUCCAUGACGGUACCGUAAGAAUAAGCACCGGCUAACUACGUGCCAGCCGCCGCAGUAACAC
rnacentral:rRNA from 1 species